rnacentral:rRNA from 1 species
AGAGUUUGAUCAUGGCUCAGAUUGAACGCUGGCGGCAGGCCUAACACAUGCAAGUCGAGCGGUAGCACAGAGAGCUUGCUCUCGGGUGACGAGCGGCGGACGGGUGAGUAAUGUCUGGGAAACUGCCUGAUGGAGGGGGAUAACUACUGGAAACGGUAGCUAAUACCGCAUAACGUCGCAAGACCAAAGUGGGGGACCUUCGGGCCUCAUGCCAUCAGAUGUGCCCAGAUGGGAUUAGCUAGUAGGUGGGGUAAUGGCUCACCUAGGCGACGAUCCCUAGCUGGUCUGAGAGGAUGACCAGCCACACUGGAACUGAGACACGGUCCAGACUCCUACGGGAGGCAGCAGUGGGGAAUAUUGCACAAUGGGCGCAAGCCUGAUGCAGCCAUGCCGCGUGUGUGAAGAAGGCCUUCGGGUUGUAAAGCACUUUCAGCGGGGAGGAAGGCGAUAAGGUUAAUAACCUUGUCGAUUGACGUUACCCGCAGAAGAAGCACCGGCUAACUCCGUGCCAGCAGCCGCGGUAAUACGGAGGGUGCAAGCGUUAAUCGGAAUUACUGGGCGUAAAGCGCACGCAGGCGGUCUGUCAAGUCGGAUGUGAAAUCCCCGGGCUCAACCUGGGAACUGCAUUCGAAACUGGCAGGCUAGAGUCUUGUAGAGGGGGGUAGAAUUCCAGGUGUAGCGGUGAAAUGCGUAGAGAUCUGGAGGAAUACCGGUGGCGAAGGCGGCCCCCUGGACAAAGACUGACGCUCAGGUGCGAAAGCGUGGGGAGCAAACAGGAUUAGAUACCCUGGUAGUCCACGCCGUAAACGAUGUCGAUUUGGAGGUUGUGCCCUUGAGGCGUGGCUUCCGGAGCUAACGCGUUAAAUCGACCGCCUGGGGAGUACGGCCGCAAGGUUAAAACUCAAAUGAAUUGACGGGGGCCCGCACAAGCGGUGGAGCAUGUGGUUUAAUUCGAUGCAACGCGAAGAACCUUACCUGGUCUUGACAUCCACAGAACUUUCCAGAGAUGGAUUGGUGCCUUCGGGAACUGUGAGACAGGUGCUGCAUGGCUGUCGUCAGCUCGUGUUGUGAAAUGUUGGGUUAAGUCCCGCAACGAGCGCAACCCUUAUCCUUUGUUGCCAGCGGUCCGGCCGGGAACUCAAAGGAGACUGCCAGUGAUAAACUGGAGGAAGGUGGGGAUGACGUCAAGUCAUCAUGGCCCUUACGACCAGGGCUACACACGUGCUACAAUGGCAUAUACAAAGAGAAGCGACCUCGCGAGAGCAAGCGGACCUCAUAAAGUAUGUCGUAGUCCGGAUUGGAGUCUGCAACUCGACUCCAUGAAGUCGGAAUCGCUAGUAAUCGUAGAUCAGAAUGCUACGGUGAAUACGUUCCCGGGCCUUGUACACACCGCCCGUCACACCAUGGGAGUGGGUUGCAAAAGAAGUAGGUAGCUUAACCUUCGGGAGGGCGCUUACCACUUUGUGAUUCAUGACUGGGGUGAAGUCGUAACAAGGUAACCGUAGGGGAACCUGCGGUUGGAUCACCU